rnacentral:rRNA from 1 species
GACAGAGGUGCCAAGCGUUAGGCGGAAUCACUGGGCUUAAAGCGUGUGUAGGUGGAUUUGUAAGUACCUUGUGAAAUCCCAUGGCUCAACCAUGGAACUGCUCGGUAUACUGCGAAUCUUGAGCCACUUAGGGGCUACCGGAACAAAUGGUGGAGCGGUGAAAUGCGUAGAUAUCAUUUGGAACGCCAAUGGUGAAAACAGGUAGCUGGGAGUGUGCUGACACUGGAGACACGAAAGCCAGGGGAGCGAACGGG